GAUGAACGCUGGCGGCGUGCCUAAUACAUGCAAGUCGAGCGAACAGACGAGGAGCUUGCUCCUCUGACGUUAGCGGCGGACGGGUGAGUAACACGUGGAUAACCUACCUAUAAGACUGGGAUAACUUCGGGAAACCGGAGCUAAUACCGGAUAAUAUAUUGAACCGCAUGGUUCAAUAGUGAAAGACGGUUUUGCUGUCACUUAUAGAUGGAUCCGCGCCGCAUUAGCUAGUUGGUAAGGUAACGGCUUACCAAGGCGACGAUGGGUAGCCGACCUGAGAGGGUGAUCGGCCAACAUGGGACGGAGACCCGGCCCAAACUCCUAGGGGAGGCAGCAGUGGGGAAUCUUCCGCAAUGGGCGAAAGUUUGACCGAGCAACGCCGCGGGAGUGAAGAAGGUUUUCGGAUCGUAAAACUUUGUUGGUAGGGAAGAAAGAAUGUGGAAGUGAAAAGCUCACUAAGUGACGUUAACUACUCAGAAAGGCACGGCUAACUACGUG
rnacentral:rRNA from 1 species